rnacentral:lncRNA from 1 species
GUGGUUCGGUUGGGAUUGAAAGGAGUUGUUUGUAGCUGCUAGUUUUGCUUAGUUUAGAGUUACUUGCGAGUACCUGUGGUUUUCGGUACUCACCCUUGCUUCUACACAAUUGUGUAGGUUGACAGCUCUCUCUCAGAUUCGGCUUAGUAGUUUCUUUAGCAGAUUGAGCUUCGGGACAUACUCGAGAGGUAGCGGUUCA